rnacentral:rRNA from 1 species
AGUGAACGCUGGCGGUAGGCCUAACACAUGCAAGUCGAGCGGCAGCACAGUAAGAGCUUGCUCUUACUGUUGGCGAGUGGCGGAUGGGUGAGGAAUACAUCGCAAUCUACUUUGUCGUGGGUGAUAACGUAGGGAAACUUAUGCUAAUACCGCAUACUUCCUACGGGUGAAAGCAGGGGAGCUUGGCAGCUUGCGCGAUUGAAUGAGCCGAUGUCGGAUUAGCUAGUUGGCGUGGUAAAGGCCCACCAAGGCAACGAUACGUAGCUGGUCUGAGAGGAUGAUCAGCCACACUGGAACUGAGACACGGUCCAGACUCCUACGGGAGGCAGCAGUGGGGAAUCUUGCACAAUGGGCGAAAGCCUGACGCAGCCAUGCCGCGUGAGUGAUGAAGGUCUUCGGAUUGUAAAGCCCUUUUGUUAGGAAAGAACAGCUGCGGGUUAAUCUCCCGCUGUCCUGACGGUACCCAAAGAAUAAGCCCCGGCUAACUUCGUG